rnacentral:lncRNA from 1 species
CUGUGGAGACUGGGCGGAGGAAAAUAAUGAUAACUGUUAUGUUAUCUUUGCUGCCUCGUUCAGCAGCUUCAGUAGCCAAUCUUUUUGAGCACAUUCCAGGUUCUUUAACAGUAUCCUUGAUUAUGCUUAUUACAUCUGCUUCGUUCAUAACAUCCCAAAGCCCAUCACUGGCCAUUACCUGACAAUCAAACAAGUCACUUGCAGCCAAACAAAAAUAAUAAUAAUAAAAAAAAAGGGGUAGAGAUAGAGAAAGAAGAAGUCUUAACAAAACACGCAAUGAUUGACAUUAAGGUGAUUACCGUGAAUGAAUCAUACUCCAUGAUUCACUUGUAUGGACUAGUGACAUACAACUUAUACAUGCCAAAUACAUGAUUUAAUAAUUUCAAGCACAAACUCAAAUGACACUAUAGAAUUAAGCUAGCAUCAAGACACGUAUUAUUUAAACAGCAUAUAUCAGGAUUAUGAACUUUAAAUCCUCUUUAUCCAUCCAGAAUUCUAUUCAAUCCUCAAUUCUAUUUCACCAAGCCUUCAGAAGAGUAAUUGCUGCUCUCUGGGGAUUAAAGAUGAAAGAGAGGCUAUUCUGUGCAAUAUCCAGUGGGAAUUGCCAAAAGCUGUAUUGCUGGCAAGAUAAUUGGCCAUUGCUUAUAUACUGACUAGUUUGAAAAUCAGAGAUUGCCAGCCCAUUUGGAGAAAGUACUUGCCAGGACUAAAAGCUGGGCCCAUAAGAGACUAGGAGGGACGCAACUCAUCAAAUUAGUGCUGCCCACAACCACACUCAAGAGGAUUAGAAGCUAGUUUAUGACCUGGGACAGAGGAAUCAUCCUCUGCAGACUAAAGUAUGACACCAUCAGAAUGGGGUUCCAGGCCUUCACCAGAAUCUGUACCAGGAAUAGAAGUCUCUGAACCAUGUGAGGAUUUUGUUUUUCUGGAGGAGGAAUAUCUUUAGAUUCUAUAAUCCAUUAGCAAGGAAAAAAGCUUCCAGUUUAAAGUUUAGGUUGGAAAUGUUCUCACCUCUAAUUUCAUAAUUGGCACUUAUGAGGCUCAAUUCUACAAUAUUUUCUAAGAAGAUGGCUGGAUACUUCACUGGCAAAAACACAAGCAAUGCUUUCUUCUAUUAUUCAAGAAAUUAAUUGGUAGUGUCCUGAAGGGAGGAGGGUAACUCAUGAAGUCAGAUAAUUGAUUAAAAUUACUAGUUAUUGGUCUCAUUUACUCUUAAACUUCAAUUUCAGGAUUCUUUGAAAUGGUCUUUAGCUAAACCUGGCAUAAUUUCUACACUUGUUUCUUCGUUUAUAUUCAGAUAAUUGGUAAAAAUUACCGGCUACCUUUACUCCCAAUCCACAAAUUCAGGAUUCUUUGCAAUGGUCUUUAGCUAUAUCUGGCAUGAUUUUUUACAAUUGUUCCUUGGUUUGUCUUCAAGUUGUGGCUGGCUUAUAGAAGUUUACCUGGACUGGACAAGCUGGAACAAUGGGGUAUCAACUUGCAAGUACAGUUUCUCAUUUUAAUCAGGCUGAGAAAUCCAUUAAUCCUCUCUAUUUAACAGUAAUAACACAGCUACCUGCAAGAAACUUAUCACUAUCCUAUGAUCAGAACAGCUCAGUAAUGGCAUACUGAGUUUGGUUGGCUCCUUAAGCUUUUUCCUCAGAACUCCUUUCUGUGUAAGGUUCUCAAACUUGCUACAGCUGCCACUAAAUACCGUGAAUGAAUUGUCACAAUCAGGAGAUAACUACUUUAGCUGCUCCUCUAAUGGCUAAUAGAACAAGAACUGAUAUUCAGUGUCUAGUAGCUAGCUGAAAAUCUAUUAAACCAAGAUAAAUUGGGAUUUCUCCAUGCAAGUGGAGAUUGUUGAGCAUAGGAUUUCGUUUGAAUUUAUCAAAUGAAAAAAAUCUUCCAUAGGCAGGCUACACAGCCUCCAUUUUACCUAUUAUUGCAGAUACUCUAUAUAAUUUAAGAGGUUUCCUCCUCUUCGAAAAUUCUUGGCUAAUCAACAGUAGUAGUUUGUAUUUUUUUUUUUUUAAAGUGAAAACACCAAGGUGUCAAUUUCUAACAGCAGUUUUACUCCGACGUCAAUCUAAUUUUGUCUAAUAAAAAAUACUUUGUUAUUCUGGAUUAAGUGCUAACACUUGGGUAAAACUAAAUGGACUUCAAUACUAAGUAAAAGCAAAUCUAUGCCACUUCAAGGUACAAAGACACCUGAAGUGAGAUGAUUGCUAUAAAGCUUUCCUUCCUUUCCUUUUCUCCUUUUUGGUAAAAAGGAGCAGAAGGGGGAUUUCCACCACAGAACAUGCAAAACCGUUUACCAUGAAGUUCUUGAAGUAAUUUACAGCUGCAAUAUAGCAGUAGUAUAACUAUGCUAACUGCAUCUUCAUUAGAAACAAUUCCAAACAACAAAACAGAGAAAGAUUCAAAUAGUCACAGUUUGCAAAAUUUGGCCUUGAAUUUUGAAGAAAUAACAGUAAUGACUCAUCAAGAAAUGCCAAAAUUAGAAAUUAGGAAGCAUUAAUAUCGUUAAUCCUCUGCUGAAUCCAAAUUCUAAAGGUCAUCAAGUUACCAAAACUCAAUUUCUUACAAUGUAUUCAUCUGCUGCAGAGAGUAUGGUUUCAGUUAUCUCAGGUUCAGCUGUUACAGCAGGCUUCAGAUCAUCAUCUCCAAUAGACCGUGUAACCUGUUGAGGGAAAACGUUUGAUCAGUCAGUUGAAAAACCACAUAAUUCUUUCAAUAUGCAAAAGUUAAUCACAAAAUUGCCUUUCUUGAUAUUUGUAAACAUCAACUGCUUUUCUUCUUUAGACGUCUGAAAAUGGAGUUGUUUUGCAAGAUAGAAAUUGCAUGAAAAUUGUUCGAUUUGUUCAAUGGUGAAGCAUUUUUGGGAUGCAUUGAAAGGAGAUGUUUACCUUAUCCUCGCCACAUAAGGGUAUGUAUCUUGUUAUGCUUUUCAAAUGGUGAAAACAUAAGAGAACCCAUAAGGAUAAAGAACUGCAUCAACAUCACCAUAUAGUCGCUUAAUUCAUCAAAAACUCAAAUGAUAACUACCUCUAAUAAGAAUUUUCCUUUCAACAAAAAGUCCUAUAAAAUUCAAGUUAAUUCAAAUUUAUGAUUCUUGUUCCAACUGGAAAACAAACUAAAAUUGUGAUAUUUAUAUGGAUUGAAGGAAAUUGAAAAGGAACAAGACUAAGUUCACUGAUACGACCAUUUACAAAAUGUCCUCAGGAUUUUGGAAACUUUCUUGAGAUUCCUGAUGCAAUUAUUGCCUUAGCUCUGUGAUGCCUAAAGGUUUCUAAGACAAUUUCCAAGACUCCUCCUUGUCUUAUUCUAGCACCAUUUUUUGCUGCAGCUCUUUGCCUCUUUUUGCUUGCAGCCCCUGAUUGUUUCUUAAUUGGUAUUUUGUGCCCUACCAAAUUUCCUACCUACAUAGUCAACUUUGGGUGCUACAGCAAUAUCAUUAUUUUCUCCUUUUUGUUGUGAAAGUGACACUUGUAUAUUGCAAUAUGGAUGGGAAAAAAAUAGGAAAAAGUACAUUGGAGAGACCAACACUCACUAUUAUUAAUAAGCCAAAAAGAUACAAAAAAACAGUGUUAAAAAGCAAAAGAUUGGAGAAACCUGGAGAGCAGCUUGACCAACCCUCCAUGUAUCAAUUUGCCAUUUGACUUGGCCACCAGCACUAAUGACACGUUCUCUCUCUUCAGAGCAACUUGCAACAUGAUCCUACUAUAUUAACGUCACUUAAUUGGUAAACCUGAAACUUUGUGCAACAAGACACCACCAAGACAAGGGUACAAGGUCUCUCACUUAUUAGAAAGUCAAGUCCCAACUCACCCUGCUUAAAGAAUAUGGAUGACCAGAGCGGCACAACAUGGUUCUGCAGUCACCAGCAUUAGCAACAAAAAGCCUGUUUUUUACAAUAAGAGCAGUGACUGCAGUACAACCAGGAUGCCAGUCUUUCUUAAUAACUCCCUUGGAUUUGCGACGAGAAUCUAGUUCUUCCCUGAAUGCAGAGUCUGUCUUGACGAAUGCUUCGUAAAGGGCAUCAGAUGGGCUUAUCAACAAAACAGAAAAUAAGACAGAUUUUUUCUGGUAACAAUCAGGAUAUACAUAAAAUAUACAGUCAAAUAGGGCAAGAAAAACCUGCUCAUGGAAGCUAAAGUUUGCAGAAAUCCAGGUAGUGCUCCAGCUGAAAACUCUGCAGCUGCUGCACCUGCAUGUGCUUCAGUUGAUUAACUAGUAUUCUUGAGCUUAUAGUCCCUCAAAAUAUUACAAGAACUUUUAAAUAUUAUUGCCACAAACACCUUAACACUUGUGAGAACAAUCUCCAAUAUCAACUCAUGAUUGGUAAAUGGAUAUGGGCUCAAAGCAAAACUACCUUCCACUUUUCUGACUAAGAGAUAGGCUAACUAGUCUGUGAAUGCACAAAAACUGUAUGUAGAAAUUGCACUUCUGUUGCAUCUAGUUGUUGGAAUUUAUUUACUGGUGGAGAGCUACCAACCCUCUGAAUACAUCUUUCCCCAUCUACUCUUUGCCAUGAAAGGUAAGUCUUCUAGAGAAAAACAAAAAAGGCUCCAAGUAGAUACAAGAAAUUUAAAGUUUGUCUUUGAGGAUGCACAGUUAAAUACGUUUUCUACAUAAGCAACACAAGAUUGGUUUCUAGAAAGUAAUUUUAUGGAGCACAUCUUUCAAACCUCUUCGCAUUCCUCCUAAUGAAUAAAAGGACAAAUUAGCUAACAGAUUUUAUUCAAUGAUGUCUACUAAGUAUCUGACUUAAGAACUGUGAUAACUAACAGAUCACUUCUUCAGCAUAAUGGCCUUUUAACUAGCAGAAAAGAAACGAUUGCAAACUAGCUAGGAACAACAGAUGAAGGGAAGAGAGCAAUUCAGAGUUUUCAGGUUCAUUCUAGAGCUUGAUAGCCAUUAAUUAAGAGCAUGAAAGAAAAUAUUGCAAAAUAGAUACGAAAAACAGAUAAAGACAGGAGAGCAACAGAAAGUUCUUAGGCAUAUAAAAUGACAGAAAUAGCUGUCCUCUACUUUUUUUUCUUUUUUGUUUUAUUUACUCUAAUCUUUCUUCCCCAACAAGAAAGUUAAUCUUCAGUCCCAUAACAUGAAUAAACUUUGGCAAACACUCAAACCAGAUACUACUAACCAUUCAAACAAAGAGAAGAAUGAAAGUAAGCAUAGUACUGAAGCAACUUAAUCCAUCUUCCAGUUCCCAUCCAAAAACAGAAAUCAGUAAAGCCUAUGGUUUCUAGAAGGGUAUCAAAGGCACGUCAUCAGAAUUAGAAAGUAGGUACAUACCACGAUGGCCGUCAAAAAUUCCAAAGGCAUGAAUAUCCUUUUCAUCACACAAAUGAGGCAUAAGAAAGUGCCUAUCCUCCAUAGUUUCCCUUCUUCCACACGUUGCAAAGGAACCCCAAGAUACUACUGGAGAAUAAGCAACAGAAUCAGCAGAUGAAUCAACCAAGACUCUGAAAAAGGACUCUGGCAUAAUAGAUGCUUCUUUUGAAGAAUAUUUUCCUUGCGUGAACCAGUUUAUGCUCUCAUGAAAACUUCUAGAAUUUGUAACAUUUGAAUGCUCUGGGGUUACAGAAGGUUGAAUUACGGCCAUUUCCUCUCUAUUAUUGCUGUUUUCAAGAAUUGCAUCCAGUUCCACAACUAUAUCAUCAAAAGAAGGCCUACUUUCAGGAUCUGCAUCCCAGCAUCUCUCAAUUAAAGACAACACACUUGCUGAUGCACCCAAUUUACUACUAGCAAGUACAGGUCGCAAUCCU